rnacentral:rRNA from 1 species
CAGUAGCCACGGUAAUAUGUAGGUCCCGAGCGUUGUCCGGAUUUAUUGGGCGUAAAGCGAGCGCAGGCGGUUAGAUAAGUCUGAAGUUAAAGGCUGUGGCUUAACCAUAGUACGCUUUGGAAACUGUUUAACUUGAGUGCAAGAGGGGAGAGUGGAAUUCCAUGUGUAGCGGUGAAAUGCGUAGAUAUAUGGAGGAACACCGGUGGCGAAAGCGGCUCUCUGGCUUGUAACUGACGCUGAGGCUCGAAAGCGUGGGGAGCAAACAGGAUUAGAUACCCGUGUAGUCCCUGUCUCUUAUACA